ACGGGAGGCAGCAGUGGGGAAUAUUGCACAAUGGGCGAAAGCCUGAUGCAGCGACGCCGCGUGAGUGAAGAAGUAUUUCGGUAUGUAAAGCUCUAUCAGCAGGGAAGAAAAUGACGGUACCUGACUAAGAAGCCCCGGCUAACUACGUGCCAGCAGCCGCGGUAAUACGUAGGGGGCAAGCGUUAUCCGGAUUUACUGGGUGUAAAGGGAGCGUAGACGGCGAUGCAAGUCUGAAGUGAAAGGCGGGAGCUCAACCCUUGGACUGCUUUGGAAACUGUAUUGCUAGAGUGCAGGAGAGGUAAGUGGAAUUCCUAGUGUAGCGGUGAAAUGCGUAGAUAUUAGGAGGAACACCAGUGGCGAAGGCGGCUUACUGGACUGUAACUGACGUUGAGGCUCGAAAGCGUGGGGAGCAAACAGGAUUAGAUACCCUGGUA
rnacentral:rRNA from 1 species